UCCGAGUUGACCCCGGCGGUCUCCUGUGAGUCCCCAUCACCCCGAAGGGCUGCCGUGUUUCCACGACAUUCCUGUGCAUGUCAAGCCUUGGUAAGGUUCUUCGCGUUGCGUCGAAUUAAACCACAUGCUCCGCUGCUUGUGCGGGCCCCCGUCAAUUCCUUUGAGUUUUAGCCUUGCGGCCGUACUCCCCAGGCGGGGUGCUUAAUGCGUUAGCUUCGGCACGGACGGAGUCGACACCGCCCACACCUAGCACCCAUCGUUUACGGCGUGGACUAC
rnacentral:misc_RNA from 1 species